AUUGAACGCUGGCGGCAGGCCUAACACAUGCAAGUCGAGCGGAUGAAGGGAGCUUGCUCCUGGAUUCAGCGGCGGACGGGUGAGUAAUGCCUAGGAAUCUGCCUGGUAGUGGGGGAUAACGUCCGGAAACGGGCGCUAAUACCGCAUACGUCCUGAGGGAGAAAGUGGGGGAUCUUCGGACCUCACGCUAUCAGAUGAGCCUAGGUCGGAUUAGCUAGUUGGUGGGGUAAAGGCCUACCAAGGCGACGAUCCGUAACUGGUCUGAGAGGAUGAUCAGUCACACUGGAACUGAGACACGGUCCAGACUCCUACGGGAGGCAGCAGUGGGGAAUAUUGGACAAUGGGCGAAAGCCUGAUCCAGCCAUGCCGUGUGUGUGAAGAAGGUCUUCGGAUUGUAAAGCACCUUAAGUUGGGAGGAAGGGCAGUAAGUUAAUACCUUGCUGUUUUGACGUUACCAACAGAAUAAGCACCGGCUAACUUCGUG
rnacentral:rRNA from 1 species